GUAAUAGUAGUGGGCCACUAGUGUGCCUUGGCCCGGUUGUUCGCUGCACCACUCUGACCGAAGAUGAAGUUGUCCGGCCUGAAGAUUCGCCCGAAGGGCACAGAGUCCAUGAUGCCGGGCUCCAGAUCCAAGAGCACAGCGCGGGCACCGCUGGGUCCCAGAGGUAUAUUUUGUCAUGAGGAAGAAAAUAUCUCUCAAGAUAAGAGGGCCCUGGAUGACUGGUUGUUUCAGUUCGGUUAAUUCCACCCCCUAAUGGAAAGGAGUGGAUUCUGGCUUGAGGAACAUGUGUGCAAACAAAGAUUAUUCUGAGGCGAAGAAAGAGAGGAAGAAGAAGAAAAGAAAUAAGGAAGGAAGUGAGAAAGAGGGAAAGUGUUUCUCCAUUCAAG
rnacentral:lncRNA from 1 species